rnacentral:sRNA from 1 species
AGUAACUAUCACAUCCAAUACUAUUCUAGUUCCAAGAGUGUCAUUUAUGUCAAAAUUGAUACUUAUCUGUGUAUUGUUAUUUUUUUGGUCUUAUGUACUUUUACCUUUUUUAUCACCAAGUUGCUUUGGAAUAUCAUUGGUACUUAAAGACCAGUUUCUUUUGUAGGCUUCAUGAACAGUUGACUGAGUCAGAACAGGCUGCCCAGUGUUACAUCAAAUAUAUCCAAGAUAUCUAUUCCUGUGGGGUAUGUAUCAUACCAUGAGAAUUGUAUUGCUGAUAUUAUUACUGUCACCUCAGUCAUUUUGCUUUCCCUUUCUAGGAAAUAGUAGAACACUUGGAGGAAAGCACUGCUUUUCGCUAUCUGGCCCAGUACUAUUUUAAGUGCAAACUGUGGGAUGAAGCUUCAACUUGUGCACAAAAGUGUUGUGCAUUUAAUGAUACCCGGGAAGAAGGUAAGGCCUUACUCCGGCAAAU